rnacentral:rRNA from 1 species
CCUACGGGUGGCAGCAGUGGGGAAUAUUGCACAAUGGGGGAAACCCUGAUGCAGCGACGCCGCGUGAGUGAAGAAGUAUUUCGGUACGUAAAGCUCUAUCAGCAGGGAAGAAAAUGACGGUACCUGACUAAGAAGCCCCGGCUAACUACGUGCCAGCAGCCGCGGUAAUACGUAGGGGGCAAGCGUUAUCCGGAUUUACUGGGUGUAAAGGGAGCGUAGACGGCAGGGCAAGUCUGGAGUGAAAUACCAUGGCUUAACCAUGGAACUGCUUUGGAAACUGGGCAGCUAGAGUGCAGGAGAGGUAAAGGGAAUUCCUAGUGUAGCGGUGAAAUGCGUAGGUAUUAGGAGGAACACCAGUGGCGAAGGCGGGUUACUGGAAUGUAACUGACGUUGAGGCUCGAAAGCGUGGGGAGCAAACAGGAUUAGAUACCCUGGUAGUC